UGUGACGCACGCGGUCGCGGGCGUGCGCGCCCCCGCCGACCGCCGGCCCCCAGUGCGCGUGCGCCGCUGGGCCGCCCGCCGGUACCGUGCAGUCCCGCGUCGAGUCGAGGGCAUGAGAGAUCUGCCCGCUAAAGGGAGUCGUCAGUGCUUCCCACCUAGUCCCGAAGACCUUUCACAUAUUGUUUCAACAUUCACUAAAAGCCUUCUGCUUGCCAGCACUUGGUAGGCUCCAGGGACACAGCCUAGAGCCAGAUAGCCAGACGCCUGGCACGCACAUUACAACCUCAGUGUGGUUCCGGCUGUCGUGGAGAGCAAGAGGACCCACUUUAGGGGGUGACAUUCAGGCUGACUCCGAGGCCUGGACAGGAUCCGACUACAGGAAAAUCUUGAGGAAAGCCAUCUGAACACAGAGGACAGCAAGCGCAAAGGGCUGGAGUUCAGUGCUGCUGGAAACAGUUUCUGGAAACAGGAGCAGCAAUCCCCGCUGGGUACAGAAGCCAUCCACGCUCUAGGCCAGGAGGUGCCUUCAUUCAAGCCUGUCCAGCUCUACCACUAGAGGUUACCAUGGCAACCAAACCCACGGGCAGCAGGAAGAAGGAAAACACCCAAACUCCCCAGACUUCUCUGGAAGCCCUCUCUUGGCCCACACCUCCCAGUUUAUAUGCCUUCUGCCCUGUGAUACUCUCUGCCUAAUGGGGGUGUGGGAGUGGACUCAGCCCAAGCAGCAACACCUCCCUCUUCUCUGCCUAAAGGGGAGCUCUCAGCCACUCCAGUCCCCUACCUGUCUCCUGGAACCUGUUGAUCAUCUGACCACCCCUGCAUCCCAGCCCCUCUGGUCCAGUCUUCCAGCUCAUUUAGUAUCUACCCCCCUCAGUUUCUGUUUUGCCUUAGAAGUGUUUAUGAGCCUCUUGGACAGGAAGGCUUGGGGAAGUGUGCUAUGUUUUCUCUGUCAUCACCCAAGCUGUCCUUCAGCCUCUAUAAUGCCUCCCUCAUGUGGCUACUGCCUUUGGUCCAGGAAGUCUGCUCUAUUUUAACAAGCAUCCAUGCCCCAGGGAGCAGUUAAUUCCCAGGCCACCUGUUUCUGCACCUGUGAGCCACCCCUUCCCCAGGACACUGUGUCCCAAGAAAGUGUCAGUUUCUGCAGCGGACCUUGGGCCUGCCUCAGAGACCCCUCAAGGCAAGGACAGAACCUGGGAAGCAAGGGAGAGCCUGGCUGGAGAGCCACAGGCCUAUAUGCUCACCAGAGCAGAAAAAGCAGAAAAGAGAGCCCUCAGGGAACACCUGGCCCUGGGGCUUUCCCAGUGCCUACUGGGACUACGCUACCUGUGGCCUGACUCACAGGCCAGUGGCCAGACUUUGACCCUGUAGUACAGACAGGCCUCCUGGAGCUUGGAUCAAGCAGCCCCAGGACAGCCUCUGAUAGUUUCACAAGCCUUUCUUCAGGCCUGUGGACACCCAGACAUCACUCUGUUACCUGCACUCUAUUAUCAAUCUGCCAAUGAUCUUGGCAGAUCAACUUACCCUGUCUGAGCAUUGGCUUGCACAUCUGAAAGUGGGGGUAAAAAUCCCUGCCCACUAAACAUUGAGUGACAUGGGGAGAAAGAAAUAAGAAUGAACCCAUGGGAAGGUUAGAAAGGGCAUAGGGGGUUCCAGCCUCAAAAGAACUGUAGGGAAAGAACUGUGGGUGGAGAUGGUAUGACCUUACAGCAGAAAUGGUGCUACUGUUGCUUCUAAUAGGCUUCUUGCAACAUCCCACUGUCUGCCCCUCACCUUUAACCCAGUUAUACUCUUCUUUGUGCCUGGGUGAGGCUGUUAUCACCGGCUGGUUGUUUUAACACCUGCUGUCUGGCUUCUCUACUUAAUGCUGUCUGUGACAGAGAAAUUACUGAGGAGGGCCCCAGUCUUUCCCCCACGCUUACCCCCAUCAGGGAGAGAAGAGAUAUAUCAGGAACAGGUGGCAUUUCAAAGUGCAUCGUAAAAAGGAAGUGCCAGCCAGGAGGGAGUUACUCACCAUCUGCUCUGCUCCCUUCACAAAUAUGUCUCCUGGGGCUUCCUAUUUGACUUAACACCUAUUGAACAACCAAAGGAGUAGAAGAAUCUACCACCACUAACAUCAAGGAACCAAAACUUUCCAUUUUAAAAUGGAAGCUGUUUCAAAGGGCAUAUUAUCCAGAAGCACGGACUGUAAAAGUGAUGCUGACCCAUGGGAAUGGCUGUCAUUUGGCUGGAAUGCAAAUGCAAUCAUAGGGGCUUCCAGGCAAAGGCUGAGGUUGCAGAAUUAUCUCAAGGACAGGGUGCUGCCAAGAAGAGCUUCAAGAAACACAUAUGUGGCCUUCUUCAAACCAGAGAGAUUAAAUAAAGACAGCCUGCCGCGUGAGGGGGCAGGCAGAACACUGAAUUAAUAUUUCUAAGCAGAGGGCACACAAUUUUCAUCUCUAAACAAUGUUUUUUUGUUUUUACUUGAUUAUAAUUCCUUUCUGGUCAUCCAGAAAUGUCUUCCCAGGAAUAAAGUACCCUUCC